AUUGAACGCUGGCGGCGUGCUUAACACAUGCAAGUCGUGCGGUAACAGGCGUAGCAAUACGUGCUGACGAGCGGCGAACGGGUGCGUAAUACAUGGGAAUCUGCCCUUUAGUGGGGAAUAACCCGGCGAAAGCCGGGCUAAUGCCGCAUAAGAUCUUCGGAUGAAAGCGGGGGAUCGUAAGACCUCGCGCUGAUGGAUGAGCCCAUGCCGGAUUAGCAGUUGGUGAGGUAACGGCUCACCAAGGCGACGAUCCGUAGCUGGUCUGAGAGGACGGCCAGCCACACUGGGACUGAGACACGGCCCAGACUCCUACGGGAGGCAGCAGUGGGGAAUAUUGGACAAUGGGGGAAACCCUGAUCCAGCAAUGCCGCGU
rnacentral:rRNA from 1 species